rnacentral:rRNA from 1 species
GAUGAACGCUGGCGGCGUGCUUAACACAUGCAAGUCGAACGAUGAAGCUCAGCUUGCUGGGUGGAUUAGUGGCGAACGGGUGAGUAACACGUGAGUAACCUGCCCUGAACUCUGGGAUAAGCCUGGGAAACUAGGUCUAAUACCGGAUAGGAGCGCCUACCGCAGGGUGGGUGUUGGAAAAAUUUAUCGGUUUUGGAUGGACUCGCGGCCUAUCAGCUUGUUGGGGAGGUAAUGGCUCACCAAGGCGACGACGGGUAGCCGGCCUGAGAGGGUGACCGGCCACACUGGGACUGAGACACGGCCCAGACUCCUACGGGAGGCAGAAGUGGGGAAUAUUGCACAAUGGGCGAAAGCCUGAUGCAGCGACGCCGCGUGAGGGAUGACGGCCUUCGGGUUGUAACCCUCUUUCAGUAGGGAAGAAGCGAAAGUGACGGUACCUGCAGAAGAAGCACCGGCUAACUACGUG